rnacentral:rRNA from 1 species
CGGAGAGUUUGAUCCUGGCUCAGAUUGAACGCUGGCGGCAGGCCUAACACAUGCAAGUCGAGCGGUAGAGAGAAGCUUGCUUCUCUUGAGAGCGGCGGACGGGUGAGUAAUGCCUAGGAAUCUGCCUGGUAGUGGGGGAUAACGUCCGGAAACGGACGCUAAUACCGCAUACGUCCUACGGGAGAAAGCAGGGGACCUUCGGGCCUUGCGCUAUCAGAUGAGCCUAGGUCGGAUUAGCUAGUUGGUGGGGUAAUGGCUCACCAAGGCGACGAUCCGUAACUGGUCUGAGAGGAUGAUCAGUCACACUGGAACUGAGACACGGUCCAGACUCCUACGGGAGGCAGCAGUGGGGAAUAUUGGACAAUGGGCGAAAGCCUGAUCCAGCCAUGCCGCGUGUGUGGAGAAGGUCUUCGGAUUGUAAAGCACUUUAAGUUGGGAGGAAGGGCAGUAAAUUAAUACUUUGCUGUUUUGACGUUACCGACAGAAUAAGCACCGGCUAACUCUGUGCCAGCAGCCGCGGUAAUACAGGGGGUGCAAGCGUUAAUCGGAAUUACUGGGCGUAAAGCGCGCGUAGGUGGUUCGUUAAGUUGGAUGUGAAAUCCCCGGGCUCAACCUGGGAACUGCAUUCAAAAC